rnacentral:rRNA from 1 species
GGUUUAGAACGUCGUGAGACAGUUCGGUCCCUAUCUGCCGUGGGCGCUGGAGAACUGAGGGGGGCUGCUCCUAGUACGAGAGGACCGGAGUGGACGCAUCACUGGUGUUCGGGUUGUCAUGCCAAUGGCACUGCCCGGUAGCUAAAUGCGGAAGAGAUAAGUGCUGAAAGCAUCUAAGCACGAAACUUGCCCCGAGAUGAGUUCUCCCUGACUCCUUGAGAGUCCUGAAGGAACGUUGAAGACGACGACGUUGAUAGGCCGGGUGUGUAAGCGCAGCGAUGCGUUGAGCUAACCGGUACUAAUGAACCGUGAGGCUUAACCUUACAACGCCGAAGCUGUU